GGUCUCGUAGCUCAGCUGGUAGAGCAUGCGCGUACAAAGCGUAGGCGGCGUCCAUGCGUGGGUUCGAAUCCCACUGAGGCUN
rnacentral:tRNA from 1 species